UUAAAUUGAAGAGUUUGAUCAUGGCUCAGAUUGAACGCUGGCGGCAGGCCUAACACAUGCAAGUCGAACGGUAACAGGAAGAAGCUUGCUUCUUUGCUGACGAGUGGCGGACGGGUGAGUAAUGUCUGGGAAACUGCCUGAUGGAGGGGAUAACUACUGGAAACGGUAGCUAAUACCGCAUAACGUCGCAAGACCAAAGAGGGG
rnacentral:rRNA from 1 species